rnacentral:rRNA from 1 species
GGUCAGGCGGGAGCACCCGCUGAGUUUAAGCAUAUCAAU